rnacentral:rRNA from 1 species
GACGAACGCNGGCGGCGUGCUUAACACAUGCAAGUCGAACGAAGAGCGAUGGAAGCUUGCUUCUAUCAAUCUUAGUGGCGAACGGGUGAGUAACGCGUAAUCAACCUGCCCUUCAGAGGGGGACAACAGUUGGAAACGACUGCUAAUACCGCAUACGAUCUAAUCUCGGCAUCGAGGAUAGAUGAAAGGUGGCCUCUACAUGUAAGCUAUCACUGAAGGAGGGAAUUGCGUCUGAUUAGCUAGUUGGAGGGGUAACGGCCCACCAAGGCGAUGAUCAGUAGCCGGUCUGAGAGGAUGAACGGCCACAUUGGGACUGAGACACGGCCCAGACUCCUACGGGAGGCAGCAGUGGGGAAUCUUCCGCAAUGGACGAAAGUCUGACGGAGCAACGCCGCGUGAGUGAUGACGGCCUUCGGGUUGUAAAGCUCUGUUAAUCGGGACGAAAGGCCUUCUUGCGAAUAGUUAGAAGGAUGA